UUCCUUGGGCUCCUGUGAUUGGAGGAAGAGGCUUCUCGGAAGAGGACAGAGGGAGCCGGGAGCGGGGAGGAGAGGCCCAGGAGCCGCUGGCCAGCACCACCACCACUGCGGCAGGGCUGGUGGAGAAGCCGUGGAAAUGGAGGCACUGAAGCUCGGAGGCAUUAGGUAACUGCCCAUGCGCAUACAGCCAGAACACAGGGGCUUCAGCCCCAUCCUCACCUGGCUGCCCCACACCCACCGGCCUGGGAGACUCAGGCACCCCUCAGCAGAUGCCCUGGCGUACCGGGGAGGCUGGAGCAGGAACGGUGGCUUCCAGACCGCCAGGGAGGAGGACACGGGCAGCGGUGACCAGGCAGCUGAGGCAUCGCCACUGCAGGACACCCGGGCGCUGUCACCUGGGACACCUGCUCUUUCACACGGGGGCCACGUCCUUAAAAUGAACGAGCACAAGGGAAGCGUUUAUCGUCAAACUAAGGAAACACCUGAAAGCCCCCGUUCCAGGCCUGGAGCUGUGGGAGAUCCCGGGCCACCUGCGGGUCCUCAGGGACUCUCCACAGCAGUUCCAGUGACACUGGGUCAGAUUAUCCUUCGUGCCUGUGUCCUGUGUGCGUGCGUGCACGUGUGUCGUGGCCACUGUGGAUGUCGGUGCCACCCUAACCCACAGCCUCUCCCUCCUCAGGGUGACACCCCUCGGCAGGCAUCUCUCUGGGGGACUUCGUUGUCCAGGGCAGAGCUGCUGAGACCUCGAUCCCCCCGGGAGGAAGGGGACAGAUGGAGAGCCCAGGGCGGCAGGGCUUGGUUGGAAUCAAGGUGUCCACAAGAACUGGAACGUGCAGGAAAAUUUUUGCUAAAGGAUCCCGGAGGAAAAUCUAGUCUGUGGUAAAAGAAGCAACAAUUACAUUCCAGGUGUGGGGCGGGGGCUGCCCAAAUCGCACGUCCGGAGCUGGCCCCACAGGACUCAGGUCAGCCUCUGCCUCACCCGAGUGGGGGAAGGAGCCCCAAAUGGGUUGAUCGUGCCUGUCCUCCUGGCUGGUCUCUUUGGGCAGGACACACUGCUGUAGGACUCCCACGGACAGAGCUAAGCGCGAGCUUCCAACGCACGCAGGACACGGCUGAUCCCUAAUGGGAGACCAACUUCCCCAAGUCUAAUACUGAAAUGCUCAGACCCAAAUUUUACUUAUUUAUUUUAAACAGCAUCUUUUAAAUGCUCACAGAAAGGAAGAUGCUGUAAGGAAAACCAGACAAAUAUGAAAAUGAGUUAAUAGACUCAGAAAUGAAAGUAAUGUUGAAAUGUAAAGCCCAGUGGAAGGGAUACACAGGCCAUUAGAUACAGCCGAAGAGACAGUUAGUGAAUUGGAAAAUAGAUUUGAAGAAAUCAUUAGUCCAAUGUCCUACAGAGAAGAAAACAGGAGAAGAUAUGAGAUACAGCACUAGGAGUCCAUCUAGAAGUUCCAGAGAUCUUCAGAGAAUUGGGAGAGGUAAUAUUUAAUAAUAUGCUCAUUAGGGAUUUUUGGAAAUGAUUGUUUAAAAAAAGGUCUCUAAGUGGAGGAAAUGAAGAGAAACCCACAUCGCAAAACCUCUGUGACACUCAGAAACACAAAAGGAGCGAGCUAAAUGCAGAAUGGGAAAAGUUAGAUUAGCAGAGACUCCAGGAUGGAGCAGCAGGCGGGGACACUAUCCCGAGGGAGCCCCCAAGUGACUUGGGGGACGGGAGGACUUGGGGGAGCACGGAGGGGUGCAGGCCGCGCUGUUCAGGUUAGACUGGAUCUCCGAGUCUCCUCGGCUGGGCGGGGCAGUGUCCAACGGGGACAGGACGGGUGGCCCUGGGCAGGACGGCCAUUCCUCCCUGAGAAGGGGAGGGUGCGGGCGGGGAGCCAGGACACUGAGGGCCACGGCCCACCCCAGGCAGCCGGGGUGAGGGUGGGGAGGUGGAGGCCGGGGAGGGCAGGUGGGCCGGGCGGGUGCGGGGACCCAGGACAGGAGAGAAGCUGCGAGGCGGGUGAGGGGACCCCGGUUUGGGGGCAGGACCCGUCUGCCCUCUUCCCUGCCUAAGCAACGCCUUCUCCAUUCUUGCUAUGAAUUUCUCACCAAACAAGCUCCAUUAAUCGUCUAAUAACCGGAUUAAUUAAGAACGCUGAAAGUAAACAGCAAGAAGGUAAUUUGCAGCUGAUUACUGUGUAAUUGCGGGAGCAUGAGCUCAUUUGCAUAUGCAAAGGAGGCUCCAGGCUGGAGAAUCUCAAAGGAGGGAAGUCGUGGCCUCUGCCUCUCCGAGCUCCCCCCGAAGCCCGGAGGAGGCUUUCUGCAGCCGGCCGGCUCCCAGCUCCUGCCUGCUUCCCUUCCCAGGACUCGGCUCACAGCGAGCCAGGGCGCGCUUCGUAAACUCCAAAGCGCUGCUGGAGCGCGGGGCAGACGCUUGCUGUGCAUUAUUUUUCACCCGAGACCAAGAUGUGCUGAGUGCGCAUGCGUCAAAGCCCCCCAGCAGCCCCUGCUCCCUCGCAGGCCGCCACAUCCAGGCAGCCCUCCGGGAUCACCCAGAUACCGGGAGCUUGCUUUGUUCCUGGAAUGGUUUGCUCACUGCUGUAGGAAAACUGGCCCACAACUCCAGCUAAACCCAGCGUCCCGGGAGCAGGGAGGAAGGUGGGGGCAUAAAGGUCUCUCUUGCUCUGCUCACAAGGCUGGGCUCAGGCUGCACGGGGUGGGGGUGGGGGUCCCCCGUGCUGGGGCUCCCACCCGUCCCCAGUGCCUCAGACGCCAAAUUGUUUUCUGAUGGCGGCCUCGGUCUUCUCUGAACUCAAUUUGCGUUUUCAAAGCAGCUAAUAGACGCAUUAAAAAAUCCAUUUUCACUCUG